rnacentral:rRNA from 1 species
GACGAACGCUGGCGGCGUGCUUAACACAUGCAAGUCGAACGGUAAGGCCUUUCGGGGUACACGAGUGGCGAACGGGUGAGUAACACGUGGGUGAUCUGCCCUGCACUUCGGGAUAAGCCCGGGAAACUGGGUCUAAUACCGGAUAGGACUGCGCGGUGCAUGCCGUGUGGUGGAAAGAUUUAUCGGUGCAGGAUGGGCCCGCGGCCUAUCAGCUUGUUGGUGGGGUAAUGGCCUACCAAGGCGACGACGGGUAGCCGGCCUGAGAGGGCGACCGGCCACACUGGGACUGAGACACGGCCCAGACUCCUACGGGAGGCAGCAGUGGGGAAUAUUGCACAAUGGGCGCAAGCCUGAUGCAGCGACGCCGCGUGAGGGAUGACGGCCUUCGGGUUGUAAACCUCUUUCAGCAGGGACGAAGCGUGAGUGACGGUACCUGCAGAAGAAGCACCGGCCAACUACGU